rnacentral:lncRNA from 1 species
CCACGCUCUCAGGGGCUACCCCAGUUAAGGAGGCGCUGUCCUGGCGUCGGAUGGGGACGGGGAACGCGGCGAGGGCGCUGCGACCUCUGCCCACCUGGCCCGGCCGCAGUCUCGGAGUUCCUGUUCCUCACAGGAGCUAAUUAUUUAUGACAGCUGCAUGGUUCCCCUCCCCCAGUUACUCAGUGCUUGGCACUCGGCACCCCUUACUCAGCACUCAGUACCGCACUCGGCCUCAGGGGACCUGGGCAGAGGGAAGCAGGGAGUCUCCCGCGGAAACUCUUGCUCUGCCAAAGUGUGAUGUGAUCUGACUGCUGCUCAGGGCCUGGACAGCAAAUGAGGAAGACUUAUUGCAGAAAUUCAGAGCCUAGUGACCUGGACCAGGGUGGAGGCAGCAGAGGAGAGAAACAGAUGAUCAAGACUCUGCUAGCAGGAGAAAAAGAGAGAAAAGAGAGAUGAAAAAGUCUUGUGUGACCAGAAGCUUAUCAACCUUGUGUGCUGUUGGCUUACUUUAACAUUUACAGCAGAUGAUAGAAUUGUGUUCAGAUGACACAAUAAGGUAUCAAAUGACUUCACGAAAGCAAGACGGCACUGAACCCCAAGUUUGUGCCUUCAGUCUCUCGCCUCGGCACCUAGGUAAUCCUUUGCCCACAGGACCACACCACCCUCCCCCAGUGAGAGGAACCAGAGUGACGGGAAAGGGAAGCCCCACACAACCAGCACUCGAGGCCCGGCCCACUGGGAGCACUGGGUGGCCUGGCCUGGGAAAGCCCCUUGUGCCCCUUGGGUGGCACCAGCAGGUACCCGUGGGAGCUCCAGCAGCACCAGACAAACCAAGCAGACCCAAGAUAGCACCAUGAAGGCUCUGAACAUCAAAUUGUCACUGGAAGCAUGGCCUGCAGAAGCGGGCCACAAUCCUCACACUAAACCUAAGCAGAGCGACUGGCUGCAAAAAGGAAAGACUUAAAAAAUAGGAUCCAGAGACCUUCCUCUUCCUCAUGAGUUUUCCAAAUCACACUUGAUUGAAACAAAAACGUUAGCACCAUCUGAGACUCAGGACAGUGAUAUUUAUGAGCGGGGAGGGUAAAGGAAGCUCCAUGCUAUAAGUUCCGCACCUCGCUUGAAGUAGGAAAAGGCCACGGCACGCAGGACUCACUGAGUGGCUACCAAAAGAAACCAACGCUGAGCUAUAGCAUGGCAAGCUAAUACUACAUUUUGGAAAAGCACGCAUAUUGAAAUUUGCGUCAUUUGUGCUAUUAUUUGUGCUAUUAUAAAGACCUGACGCCUGGUGGAACCGUGCUUACAAUGUGUGGGUACUUAAACGCGUGUUCUGAAAAACUCCUCUGCUGCUUCUUCCUCUGAUUUCACAUUCGGUAAACCUGCAAGUGCACACAUUUCAUCCCCUUGCAAGACUGUUGUCAGUGCUCAGUAAGUCUACAUUUUACAUAGGAUGAGGUGAUUACAAAGAUGGCACCAUGGAUAAACGACACUACCUGUGUUAGCAGUUGUGACUUUUCCUUCU